CAAAGUCAACUGGCCCUCCCUUGACCCCCUAAGACCCACUUGCAUUCAUCUUUCCAUGUUUCAUCACCAAAAACCAUGUUUUCUUGAAAUUUCCUCAUGUCCAUGACUUAUUCCAUAACUUGGUCCAUGUCAAGGUCAGACCACCAAAUGGACCACCACUUGGAUCAGGUCACAAACCAUGUCCAUGACCAGGCCAGACCAACAAAUAGACCACCACAUGAACCUACAUAAACCAUUUUUCAUUUUUCAACCAUUAAACUAACUAUCGAAUUUCCAAUUACAUGAACCAUUUAAACCAAACAAAUUUCAUUCAUUUGCAUCAACAAUCCUAUUACAUUCAAGUCAUUAAUUCCAAUUUUCCAUUCAUUUUUUAUUACAACCUUACAAAACCAAGUUAACAAGCCCUACAUCUAAAUUCAGUCCAACCACCAAUUUAAUUCAAAUCCAUCAAGUCCCGAGUCAGCUGCAACAAUGCCCAUGUCACUAAACACAUCCAAGCUGUCCAAAUGCAUCCAGUCUCAUUUUCCAAGUCCACAUAGCCUAUGGUGUACAUAACAUAUACCUGCAUAAUUCAACAACACCAAACCAUUACCCUGCUGCAAAUUCUAACAUGUCAAUUGCCUUGCAUUUCUUUAACAAAACUUGUAACCCUGCAAAACUCAGAAGCAUUUCCUUGCAUUUCUUCAACAGAACUUGUUUCCCUGCAAAACUGAAGCAUUGCCUUGCAUUUCUUAAGCAGAAAACCACAUUCCCUGCACUUCACCCAACAUAAUUUUGCAACUCACACAAGUCAGAAAACCAACAUUCCCUGCAUUUUUCGUGUAUCAGCAUACCAAAUGAAUUCCACCAUAAUCCAUAGAAGUGCAUUGCGUACAUAAUCAUAAUCACUAACAAAAACUCACAUUUGAAACUAACUGAUUUUAACUCAUUCAAAACUCUAACAAAAUUUCGAAUUUGUAACUAACCUAAGGUGAAUUUCAAUUACAUUUCGAUUUCAUUUCGAUUUCAUUUCAUAACUUAAUAUGAAUCACUCUUCAUAUAUAAAUAAUCAUCACCCAUUCAUCAUCGAGGAUCACACACCCACUUUUCACAUUUUCUAAAAUUAUUGAGAUUCACUUUUGAUCUCAAUCCUCUCUUCACCCUCACACAGAGCUCUCUCUCAGAAACUCCAUUAAAGCUUCACCUCGAAGCUUCAAUUGAUUUGAGCUCGACCUCAAUCAUUUCAGUUCCUCUCAGUUUAAUCUCUAUAUUAUCUCUCGAUUACGCCAAAUCUCGAUUGUAACAGAACUUUCAGAAGAAGAAAAGGACCCAAGUAAGGAGCUAGGCCGAGAUUUACCUGAUUCAAGUGAUUUUCGCCGUGUCUUCUUCUUCUACAAUUUAACCUUUGCCGAAACAAAUCUCCAUUUCGGAGGUAAAUUUUUCGUUCUUCUGUUUGCCAAUAUCUUGGUACCUUUGUGUAGAGGAUGUUCUAGAGGUUAAUAACCCUAAGGUAUGAGCAUGAAUCCAUGAGUAUUCAUCAUUUGACUUAUCUUUGAUUGAACUAUGGUUCUUCGCCAUUCCAAUUAUGUUUGGACAUUAGAGGAAUGAUUUGUUGAAAUUGAACUUAAAUUUUGGUUAAGCUCGUUGUCACGAUCCCAAUGAUGGCUUCAUUUUAUGUUUUGGUGUUCCACUACCGCCGGAGGAGACCUCCGACGCAGUGGAUGAUGGUGGCUGGUGACCUGAAUCCCAUCUUAUGCCCUAUCUUUGUUGCGUGCGCAUUUUCAAAUUGAUUUCCACUAUGAAUGCUGAAGACCAU
rnacentral:lncRNA from 1 species